AUGAUGAAGAGACUUUUGAGGGGCUCAUCGAGCCAAAGCUCGAAGGAAAAGGCACCGAAGCCUAAGUAUAAUCUGCCUCGCACCGCGGAGGUUCGGGCAUGUGAAUGGCCUUCCGAUGACUUCUUGAGAGCAGCCGUGAUUUAUGAAGAUUUUCAUGAAUUGGCUAAGAAUGCAGGCCUCACCACUUUCCUCCAUGACCAAUGCGAUCAAUAUCUCUUACUCACAAAUAUCUUUGUGCAAAACUUUCAUUUCCAUUCUAGGAGCUCACCACCUACGGUGGAGUUUUAUUUAUAUGAUGAGCAUAAGGAGAUGUCACUCUAUGAUUUUCGUCGGGUUUGUUUGGUCCCCUUCGAGGGCAAGACAGAAGAACCACAUCGCGAUGAUGUGGACGGGUUUAUUGAUACUAUCACUGUAGGGGAAACAAGGAAGGUCUCCGAUGCACGAAUCACUAGCAUACAUUUUCCUGUUUUACGUUAUUUUGCAUUAUUUGCUAGUCAUUUUUUAAUUGGUCGCGGAAACUAUGGAAACCUUAGUAUCCCUGAUAUUAUUAUUUUGCUCCACGGUUUAUACGGUGAUAACUCUGUUAGUAUGGGCGGCAUUAUGGCCAAACGGUUAAGUCUGAACCGUACCAAGGGCCCCGUCUUUGGAGGCAUCUAUGCUUCACGCCUAGCUGCACAUUUUAACAUACCUAUUAGGCAUUAUGAGAAGGAAGAAAAAGUGAUGCCUCAUGUUUAUCUAGAUUAUAAAAGUAUGGUGGCGCAUGAUUUUAUUGUUAAGAAUAGGGAAGGAGAGCUUAAAUACAAAUUGUUCUUUAAUAAACAUCAUCCUGAGACUAUUACCCUGCCUGCUCCUUCUUUAUUUGAUUUAUCUGCAGGCCAGUACCUUGUCCCGUUAAAGGCUAUUCAAUCCUACCGGAACCCUGCACCAGCUAUGGAGCCAUAG
rnacentral:rRNA from 1 species